UAAAUAUUCGGGCCAGCAACUGUCAAGGUCGCCGCCUCGCCGGCGCCGCUAUCUCCGCCACCAUCGUCCCCAAUCGCUGCCUCAAGCUCCCCCUACUAUCCGCUUACGGCUCUUGCUCCUCCUAAUUUCCAAGCGCCCAUGUUGGCCUCUGGUCUCUGGGCAAUGGAGCCAGCAGACGACGAGGAUUCCGGCGAUUCGCUUUGGAGAGCGACCAAACUCCGACUAACCUGGGGGUCUUCUGGCGCCCCCCUGCUGUGGCCGUCGGCCCGACGGCGGCAACCCUUUCCCCCUUCCGCAGCUCGCGAAGACAGAUGAAGUGUGAUGGGGGUGGAGCAUCAGAGGGUGAUGCAAAUCGAGAUGGCCCAGUGGUCAGGCAAGCGGCUUUCAUCAGUUGCUCGACCACCACCCAUACUUCCCUGGCGAGUUCUGGCUGGCGUCCCCAGCUCAAGGUGAUGCAUCUAAGUCCAAGAUGUGCCAUCUGGUUGACCUGCGUAAAUGGCCAGUCCCCUGCGGAGGUGUCAAUGAUAGAAUGCAGGGUGACAUUGAAGGUUGGUGGUCGGUAAGUCAGGUUGUCUGUGGAGGUGGCUGAUGCCCAAGUCUCCCAGCUUGCUGACAAAGUUGGCAUCAAGGAGAAUGUUCCCCAGAUUUAGAUCACCGUGAACAAUUGGAUAAGGCUUGUAUGAGUGGAUGAAAGCCAAAGCUGAGCAUAUCUCCCCAAUGAUCCUCGUGCGCACCUUCCAUGUCAGAGGUGGCAUGUUUUUCUUGCGUGAAAGCCAGUCCUCGAGGGUACCAUUUGGGAGGAAUUCGUACACCAGCGCGAAAUCGUCCGGGCAUGCUCCUAUCAGUGUUAUGAGAUUAGGAUGCCUGACUCUACUAAGGACAGCAACCUGCAGGAGUGAUGCCCCAGGUCUUUAAUCUGUACGAGCACUCAACAUUUUGGUAAAGUACUACACUUUGUAUUAUGGACCAAUGCAGAAAAGGAAGAAGAAAACUUACCCUUUGAAGAUAUGAGAUCAGAUCUUUUUCAGCUUUUCUUCUUCUGUUAGUUUCUUCAGACGCAUCCUUUUCAAAAGAUUAGUCAGAUAUUUCUGAACAGUAUUUAACAAUACACUGAAUCUUAAUACAGACUGUCAAACUUACCACU